ensembl:lncRNA
UUAUGUCCAAUUUGCCAGUACUGCAGUUUGUGUGUAGUGAGGUGUUUUCAUGGUGUUUUAUUGGUGCUUUUACUAAAGGAAGGCUUCUAUCAAAUUCUUCCAAAUGUUGUCAAACUGAGCUGUGUGAUGAAGUGAGUGUGACAGAAACACUCAGACUGUGUUUCUCUGCUUCAUCAAGUCAAAUCUGGUCCUCAGAGACUGAAUAAAGUCCUGUCCCACUAACAGCAGCUCCAACAGUCUGUUCACUGCUUUCUUCCUGUCAGUCUUCAUCUUUCUGCUGCGUCUCCUCUUCACACUGACCACUUUCUAUCUAACAGUGAGCUCCCAGUGAAGCAGCAGCAUUCAGCCUGUUAGAGUCAACACAAAUGUCUCCAUCCAAGCUCAUGUUGUGCUUUGUUGUCCUCUCAGUCCCCCAGGUGGAGGUGGAUUCAGGGGUGGAGUCUGUCCAGCUGCCCUUCAACACCACACUUCACCUGCCUGAAGACGCUAAAGUGGAGUGGAAGAAUAAUUACGAUACAAAAGUCCACAUGUAUGAGAACGGCUCUGACCAGCCUGAAGAACAGCACCAGUUUUACAGAGACCGAACGAAGAUGAAUGAAGACCUGCUGAAAACUGGAGACCUCAGUCUGACCCUGAAACACCCCACAGAAACAAAGACCUACACCUGCACCGUCUACAGCAGGGAGGGAAACAUCCUGCUGAAGAGAAAGGUGGAGCUGAAAGUCAGAGUCCCCCAGGUGGAGGUGGAAUCAGGUGUGGAGUCUGUCCAGCUGCCCUUCAAAACCACACUUCACCUGCCCAAAGAUGCUAAAGUGGAGUGGAAGGACAAAGGUAGCAGGAUGAUCUAUGUUCAUCAGAACGGCUCUGACCAGCCUGAAGAACAGCACCAGGCUUACAAAAACCGAACCAAGAUGAAUGAAGACCUGAUGAAAACUGGAGACCUCAGUCUGACCCUGAAAUACCCCACAGACUGGGACAACAGAACCUACACCUGCACCGUCUACAGCAGGGAGGGAAACAUCCUGCUGAAGAAACAAGUGGAGCUGAAAGUCAGAGUCUGUCAGGUGGAGGUGGAGGAGGGGGCGGAGUCUGUCCAGCUGCCCUUCAAAACCACACAAAACCUGCCUGGAGAUGUUAGAGUGGUUUGGGAAUGCAAAGAGCCUGAACCAGUAAUGUUGGUCCAUGUAUAUGACAAUGGCUCUGACCAGCCUGAAGAACAGCACCAGGUUUACAGAGACAGAACGAAGAUGAACGAAGACCUGCUGAAAACUGGAGACCUCAGUCUGACCCUGAAACAGCCCACAGAGAGAGACAGUGGAGGAUAUGCAUGCUACGUUGUGAGGAAUCGAGCUGUGGUUCGAAGGAAGAGAGUGCAGCUCAAAGUCAAAGGGAGAGUUCAGGUUCAGGAUCAAACAGGGGACAUCAGGAACAGAAGCAGCUCCAUUGAUCCGACUCCUCUGAUGGCUGAUCAAUCAGUUUGAUCUGUGUGUUCUUUGAUUAUUGAUCAGUGAUGUCAGAGUGGAGUCAGUGUGAUGUUGUUGUUGUGUGUUUGAGACUUUUAGUGUCCAUGAAGGUCUCUGCUGCCGUAGAUCCUCUGAACUGUGACAGAGGUCUCACUCUGGAGGAAACUCUCAGCACUUUCCAGCAGCUCCUCCAUCAUGGAGGACGUUCCCUCACUGUAACAGGUGGAGGAGAGAGGAGAGGAAGCACAGGUGGAUCCUCUGAGGAAGAGGAGCGUUCCUACAAACCACAUGAUCACAUGACCAGAGGACAAGCAUGUGUAGAAACCUACAUCUGUCUCCAGCAGCUGUCUGAGCUGCAGUCUGUAUUGUGUGUGUAAUAUCUUCAUAUGUUUCUAAUAUUACAGUUUUAUCUUCAGGUGUAAAAUCAGCUGCUCUGCUGUCUUAUCCCCUGAUCCUGUGUGAUUGAUUAAUCCUGCAAACGCCACAAAUUUCAUUUCAGCUUUUAUUUGAAAGCUGAAACCUUGAAGGCUUUACAUGUGUUGGAUAUGAAUGUUUGGAGCCCAGAUCAUCAUUUGUCUUGUUUCAGUGGGAAUGUUUUUCUCCAUGUUGGCCUGAGGGUGGUGCUGUUUAGCCUGUACUGAGUAUUUGUCACUAUGCUGAGUUGUGGGUGGAGUCAGUGAUUGGCUGAAGGUGCCUUCUUUAAAGCGGGAACACUGGCUCAGCUUUCCUACCUCCUUACUCCCAGCUGGACCACGCUGCAUCAACAAGUGAUUGUCUGUGUGUGGAAGAGUGAUGCCAUUGUACACACUGUAAAUAUCUUCUUCUUCUUCAGCUGUGUGGGUGGAGAAGCUUUUCUGUUAGGGAGACGGUGUCCUUCUCACCUUCAGACAUGAGAUUAGAAAGAGAGAGAGUUCAGAUUACAGUGCAGAUAUGAAUGAAUGAAUCCGUGCUCGUCCUCACGGCUCCUGCAUGCUUUUAAAAAAGUGUGUGUUCAGCUCUGAUCUCCAAUCUGUUCUUUUCUCUCUUUGUUUCUUUCCUGGCUUCAUGAUCAUCAUCACACCGUCUGAGGCUCCUAAAUAUCCAUGUUUGCUUGUUUCACUCUCACAGUUGAACUCUGGGAGUCAAAGAUGUUUCAGCUCCAAACUCACUGAGAGCUCCUCGUGCCCACCACGUGACCAAAAACAUCUUUGUGCUCACGUGCUGCACGUGUCUGAGACACUUUAGUUUGAAGGAGACAAACUGCAGACGCAGCAUUUCCUGUUCCUGAGUGUAAACCUGAGCAUUUGAAAUGAGCUCCACAGGGGAAGCUGUAGGUGACAGAGAUACUCACAGACUCACUGACGUUACAGUCUGUUAGCAUCACGCAGUAUCACAGACACACGGGAAGAUUUAGUGCAAGUGCUGAGAGACACACAGCAGACAUAUUGACUGGAAACAUAUCAGACUGAAAUAAAGCAGAAGCACAUGUUAGCACAUGCUAAUAUGAUGUGGAUGUGUUUAGUGUGGGAGCAGGACUCACCUGAGACACACCUGUGUGGAUGAUGCUGCUUCCUGCUCUGCUCUUUCUGCUGAUUCAGCUUCUUCAUCACGUCUGAGGCUCUGUCACAGUUUGUUUGUCAACAUCAUCAUGGACACAACACAAGCACAUUUAUUUGACAUGUGAGUUUCUAUGAUUGUGAUUGAUGUGGAUGUAGAUGACAAAGAUGAUGAUAGAGAAGGGAUAUUGUACAUGUGUUCAGAUGAUGUAUGCAAACAGUCAUAACCUGGCUGUGACGUGUGUGGGGGAUUAAAAUUUUCCAAAAUGCAGUAAAUUAGGAUGACAGAAAUGAUGGCACCUCUGUUUUCACGUGAGCUAAAGCUACAGGUGUCACAUCAAACACUCACAGGGAAAACACCAAUCACAGCACGCACACAUAUACUGAACAUUACAGAGAGAAUUAUUAGAGAUCGACUCCGUUAUGAGCCUUCUUUUAAUAUCGAUGCCUGUUAAAAAUUUAUAACAGCCCUAAACAUGUCUUCAUUACAACAUGCAUCAGUCUAGUGUUUAUAAAUGAAUCUUUUUGUGCUACUGUCAGUAAUGCUGUAUAACGAGUUAAAGUGCUGCUAAAGUUAAACUCAGUGUGGUAUUUUCCAAAACUAUGGUGUCAUUGUGAUAGUUGCAGGCAAUGUUGGGUGUAACUGUAAUUAAAUUACUUUUCCACUGAAAAAGUAGAGUAACUAAUUACUAUUCAUUUUUAGGAAUUUUAAUUACAGUUACUUACAAUGUAUUUGUGUUACAUUGUAAAAUAAUUAAAUAAUAAAUAAAUAAAUAAUUAAACUCGCUGAAUAUCAUUAUUUAAGCAGGCAAAACUUGAUUUUACUUCAGCAGCACAGAAAGCGUCUGAAGGUGAGCUUAAAAAAUGAUUGCAGGCUACAUUGUGGAACAGAUGCUACCGCUGCGUACUGUAGAGUCUCCGUCUUUGAAAAAAAUUAUUUAUUAUUUAAAGAGUUUAAUUUCUAUUGUUUGUCCACUCAAGGUUUAUAGGGAUUUUAAGAAGUAUUUAGUUUAAUUACUUAUUUAGUAAUUAACUAACCCAAAACUGGUUGCAGGGCAUUGCGUUAAAAAAAAGUGUGUUGUACAGCUCUUUCC